AGGACGGGCCUUUCAGGCAUCCUCUCCUAAAACUUCAAAGGCUGGUCCUCCGGGACCAGCCCUUUUUUUGUGCCUC
rnacentral:sRNA from 1 species